CUAAACGUACAUGGCCCGAUUCUGUAAAGUGACUGUCGGCCCAUUACAUGUGGAAGAGCGGUGGAACAAAUAUUAACUGAAGAUUGAAACCAGAACGGCGCGAAACUGUCUCGUUUUGGACACUGUCUGUGGCAGCACGGACCAGAGACCUGCUUCUUUGGAUGAAGCUUAGUGGUGGCGUUGGAAGACAGGAGAUAUAUGCUUUGGGUUUGCGUCAUCCACUACGUCAGCAAAGAACAGGAUCGGGGAAUGACUACAUGGCCAACUGCAUCUCGUGGAAGUUGUUCUGAAGAUGCGAUGCGUGAAGGAAGGAAGUCCACAAGCAUGUGUGCUUCAGGUGUGUAAAUGUGUUGACAUACCUUGUGUGUUAUAUAAUGUGUUCAGUCAUCAUCAUAACUGUAUAAGGAUGUGUCAGACAAUAAAUUAAUUUUGUUUUCUUUUGAAAUUUCAUGCAUUUCGGCUGGCUGAAUGGGAAGAACUCUUUGACCAACCCCCAACUGAGAGAGCUGAGCGAAGUGGCUAUCAGUAAGUCUAUUUGUGGGGACAGACUUACUCUGACAGAUGACAUCUUACAAACUAUGCUGUAGAUCUCAUAAUGAUCUUGCAAUAUGUAUUCUUUUAUAACUAAAUGCAGUUUGGAGAUAUUCCCCAGCUGCUAGUGAUGAUGCAACAUGUGUAGGCAAUAACUAAGCAGCAACAGAAAGAUAAGGCACUUUGUGUGUGUGUGUGUGUGUGUGUGUGUGUGUGUGUGUGUGUGUGUGUGUGUGUGUGUUUGUGUGUGGUAGCUGGCUAGGUUAUGGUACAUGGUAACCCACAGCCCAC